CUGGCGCUGCCGCCCUGCCCACCCCUCCCGCAGCUCCUGGUACAGCUCCUGGUGCUCCUCCUUCCAGCGCCUGAAGGUGUCCGAGGAAGGAUUUUCGGCACUGCUCCUGCGUCAGGAACCGCCGCUGCCCGAUGAGGGACACCCCCCCCUGCUUCAGGCACCGCAUCAGGCUCUCCAGGCUUCCUUCACCCCGAGAUGGUUCACACUCCAACACACCCCAACUCGAGUUACCCCCCAGCACACACACACAGAGAAAAGGGAGGCCCUGACUGUGAUUAAAGGGUGCACACAAGGUGACAGUGUGACAGAUGCCACCCCCAGCACCUACCCAUGGGGGAGCAGGGCCGGGGGCUGCCCUGGGGGCUGCUGGACUCGCCGCUGGCCGGGGAGAGCUGGGCUUUCUCCUGGGGGCUCUGCAGCCUCUUC